AACAAAUUAUAACAGCCAAAAGAGAAGGGACAACAAACUAUAACAAUCAAAACAGAAAGGACAAAUAUAUCUCAACAAUUCAACAAAGUAAGUUUUAUCUUUUUCUACUAAAUGAGUUUUAUUAGAUGCUGUAUUCGCACCCUUCAUUGCUAAGGUCCGCCGUGAAUUUGCUUUACUUCGCCGUGAAUUGGCUCUCAGCGCUAUGGGAGACUCCACUUCAACCCCUAUGUUCGCUAUCAGCGACGGGGGAGUUUCUGAUCCGGCCCCGAUGAUUUCCGAUGACGCUGCAUCAAUCGAUCCCGGUCACAAAACAAUUCCAAGAGUCGGACAACCCAACAGAGACGACAGCCCAUCGCGAAUCUCCUCGGUAACACCCAUCGGUUCCGUUCCGCCGUUGCUCUCGCCAUCGCCGUUAUUGCGAGCAAUAGCAAAUUCUCCUAUCAAGCCACAGUCGAACUCGAACGCUUCACUGGCAGCCCACUCCAACAAUACCAUUUUUGAGCAACCAGGAAGCUCCAACAAGUGUGCAGGGUCUGGGUUUUACUCCAACCCCGAUGCCUGCUAUCAAUGCUACGGGCGACUCACUUCCAGCCCCGUUGUUGUCGGAUGGCGUUGAAUCGCUAGAUGUUGAUCACAAUCCGCUUCUAUGUUUUGGGAUCCACGACGAGGAAGGCAGCCCACCGCGAAUUCUGUGUCCGCAACGGAUCGAACACCACGAAGCGUCGACAUAGGUUUGGUCGGUGGUAAGACGAUUUGAUCAACCGCAAAAGUAUAAGCCAUUUGUCAGCAGGUUUGUGGUGCAGGGAAAUCUUGAGAUUGAAGUUCAGAGAAGUUGAUGUUAAGUCUGGGCUUCCUGCCACAACAAGUACUGAGAGAUUGGAACUUCUUGACCAUGACAAGCAUAUUCUUAGCAUUAAAAUAAUUGGUGGGGAUCACAGAUUCAAGUCUUCCACAACGCAUUAAACAAUUGAUGAGACAGCUUUAUGGGCAAGAGAAAUUGUUGACGGAUAUCCAACUCAGAAAGGGGAAUCCACAUCAGGUGAACAUCAGUUGGAAUACCACAGGCAAGCAUUUUCAUGUACAGCCCAUCAAACCCUCCAAAAUCUUCAAAUAGCAUUUCAAAUUCCUGGUAUGAGAAUUUAAAAAUUAGAAACAUAAUUGAAAUAGCUAUUUGCUGCAUGCAUAAUCUGUUUAUCUUUCUUUAGCUACAUGCUUGCUUGAGAGUUAUCAGAGGAGGGGUUUGGUCUCGUAUUUGCAAUGCGCUUAUGUCGUAAGAUCCACUUUUAGGAUUAAUAAUUGGAUUUAGGCAGAUUUCCAAUAUAUAAAUCAUGUGCCAAUUGCCAACUAUGACGACCUCUUAUCCUUUCGAACUGUCUCUCUACCUUAGCUGGCUAGCUAUGAACUUGAUGAUAUUAUCAUGAUGUCAAUCAAUUUAAUCAUUGAAUUACUGCUUUUAUUUCAAAUGGUGGCUUGUUUAUUUCAAAUGGUAGCUACAAGCCAACCUUAUCUUCCAUGUACUUAAGCUUUCAAUUUGCUUUGAGAACUAUUAAAUGUAAUGAACUUUGGUAUUGCCUUUGUUCCCUUAAUCUGGAUAUUGCCCUUGUUUCUUAUAUCUUCUCUGCAACCUAUUGGAGUCUAAGUGAGAAAUGGCUCAUUUCUUAUGUUUUGUCACAUGGCAGCUCACAACAGUGCUCUCCUAAGGUCCUCUUUUUGAGGACCUGUAAGGACCUCUUUUAUAUUAGUCAUAGGAUUAAUCUAAUGGUAGAAACACUAUUUAGUUUAUAUAAUCUUGUUACACUAAAACAAAAUCAAAACACCAAAAAAAAAAAAAAAAUAAGGUUCACGCUCAAAUUUUCGACGCUGAAGGAGAGCAACGAGACCCGAUUUCAUAGUGCCCUCGGAAAAUUAAAAUUUUCUUCGAAGCUAUGAAAAGCUAUUUCCUUUGUGGUUGUAUUGAUUUCAAUUUCUCCCAAUUUCUCCCUCCUUGCUGUUGAAAAAAAAGUAGAAUGGAAACUGUAAUUUAAUCGAGAGAACCAUUCUUCUUUUAAUUGGGUUUCAUCUAAUGCUCUCCUAAUAGCACCAUUCUUUUUUAUAUUCCUUUGUGGUGAUGGUUCAACCUUUUCUCCGUUCUUCCUUUUUUUUUUUGCUUCACUUUUAAUUUUAAUUGCAGAUUGUUGUAUGAUAGAAGAACAAGCUUCCUAAGGACAAUCUCGAACUGGUAGCGAUGAUCUUCAAGUGUGGGAGCAUAGCAAUAGAGAGGGAGGGUUGGGACGACGUCCUUAACAAAAGAUUUCCUCUGAGAUUGAACGGGUUGCAAUUUUGCUCCUCUCUCGCGAAGCAGGAAUGAAGGAUAAGCGUGAAGCCUUUUAGCAUGUUUUGAUUUUGUUUAGGUGUAAUAGGUUUAUAUAAACUCAAAAUUUUUUUUACCGUAAGAUUAAUCCUAUGACUCAUAUAAAAGAGGUCCUUACAGGUCUUCAGAAAAAGGACCUUAGGAGAGCAUUGUUGUGGCAGCUCAUAUUUAGAACAAAGAGGGUGUGCUUUACCACAAGGAUAUUUGUCUUGCAAAGUAAUACUUUCCCAUCCAAAAGUUUGUGUACAGAUGUCGCAGUUGAUCACUCGUCGUCGAAGUGUGACCAAUGCGCCUCCGCAUUAUCAGCACCUAUUGCUUUAGCCGUCGUCAUGGCAAGGUUGUUCGGUGUAUGGGAAGGCCUGGGUUCGUGAGAUGGGUGCCUCCUCUUCCAGAUUGACCACAGGUGCCUCCUCUUCUAGAUUGACCACAGGAUAGGUUAUCGCCCUGAUGGAGGAAGUGGCAACCUUAAAAGGUUAGCUUGCGGCCCAAGACGAGAAGAUGAGUAUGAACUUACGGGCCUUACAGAUGUUCGGCCUCCAAAUCCCGAUACUAGCACUUGAUCUUGCUCCACUUUCGACCUCCCAACCACUUUGCCUAGCCGAUACCCAGUAGCCUGAUGUAUCAAACCUAGAAGACUACUUAUAGUUUUUUCUUUUAUGUUCAGGCAUCUUGUAUGUACAUUUUUAUAUAUUUUAUAAUUAAAUAUUUUUUCUUGGUUUA